rnacentral:rRNA from 1 species
CGGCGGACGGGUGAGUAACACGUGGAUAACCUACCUAUAAGACUGGGAUAACUUAGGGAAACCGGAGCUAAUACCGGAUAAUAUAUUGAACCGCAUGGUUCAAUAGUGAAAGACGGUUUUGCUGUCACUUAUAGAUGGAUCCGCGCCGCAUUAGCUAGUUGGUAAGGUAACGGCUUACCAAGGCGACGAUGCGUAGCCGACCUGAGAGGGUGAUCGGCCACACUGGAACUGAGACACGGUCCAG